GCUUCUAUAGCACAGUGGCUAGUGCAGCUGAUUUGUAAUCAGCAGGUCGUUGGUUCGAAUCCGACUAGAAGCU
rnacentral:tRNA from 1 species